AGCCACACUGGGACUGAGACACGGCCCAGACUCCUACGGGAGGCAGCAGUGGGGAAUUUUGGACAAUGGGGGCAACCCUGAUCCAGCAAUGCCGCGUGUGUGAAGAAGGCCUUCGGGUUGUAAAGCACUUUUGUCCGGAAAGAAAUCGCUCUGGCUAAUACCUGGGGUGGAUGACGGUACCGGAAGAAUAAGCACCGGCUAACUACGUGCCAGCAGCCGCGGUAAUACGUAGGGUGCGAGCGUUAAUCGGAAUUACUGGGCGUAAAGCGUGCGCAGGCGGUUUUGUAAGACAGGCGUGAAAUCCCCGGGCUCAACCUGGGAAUUGCGCUUGUGACUGCAAGGCUAGAGUGCGUCAGAGGGGGGUAGAAUUCCACGUGUAGCAGUGAAAUGCGUAGAGAUGUGGAGGAAUACCGAUGGCGAA
rnacentral:rRNA from 1 species